rnacentral:rRNA from 1 species
GAUGAACGCUAGCGGCAGGCCUAAUACAUGCAAGUCGAACGGUAACAUGAGUAGCAAUACUUGAUGACGAGUGGCGCACGGGUGCGCAACACGUAUGUAAUCUUCCCACAACUGGGGGAUAGCCCGGAGAAAUCCGGAUUAAUACCCCAUAACCCAGCGAGGUGGCAUCACCUUUCUGGUAAAUCUCCGGAGGUUGUGGAUGAACAUGCGUCCGAUUAGCUAGUUGGCGGGGUAACCGCCCACCAAGGCUACGAUCGGUAGGGGUACUGAGAGGUUAAACCCCCACACUGGUACUGAGACACGGACCAGACUCCUACGGGAGGCAGCAGUAAGGAAUAUUGGACAAUGGAGGCAACUCUGAUCCAGCCAUGCCGCGUGAAGGAUGAAGGCGCUAUGCGUUGUAAACUUCUUUUGAACGGGAAAAAACCCCUUUACGUGUAAAGGGUUGAUUGUACCGUUAGAAUAAGGGUCGGCUAACUUCGUGCCAGCAGCCGCCGUAAAAC